AAAGAGGGAGGAUUGCUUGAGCCCAGGAGUUUGAGACCAGCCUGAGCAAUAUAAUCUUGUCUCCACAAAAAAAAUUAAAAUUUGCUAAUUUGCACGCCUGUGAUCCCAGCUAUCUGGGAGGCCAAAAUGUAAAGAACACUUGAGUCUGGGAGGCAGAGGUUGCAGUGAGCCAAGAUCACACCACUGCACUCCAGCCUGGGCCACAGAGCAAGACCUUGCCUCAAAGAAAAAAAAGAAAGAGACAAGCUCAUCUGCAAGUGGAGGUAUGAAGGAAGGGCCAGGGGUUUGGGGAGAUUGACAGGGGUUUGAGAUAAUCACUGUGGGAGAGUAAGUUAAUCAGACACUUAUCAGGGUUUCCCAGGUAUAGUGAGGGCCCCUCUGGACAUAGUAACCAUGAAUUUAUGUAGAACCUAUAUGCACUAUUGUGUGACUUUCCAGAGGCUGCCUGACAGCAGGCACAGUAAUAGAGAGUUGAGGCCAUACACAGUGGGGAUUUUGCCACACAGGAUAACAAAAUGACAAAGGAUCAAGAUUAGGGCUUAACCAAGAUUGUUAGAGACGUGGACUCUAAGCAUGAUAAGGGAGGAGGGAGGGGAGGGAGAAAGCUGAUGGUGUGGGGAAAAACAGAGCUACAGAUCGGAGGUUCUGAUGACGGGGAACGGUUGCAGUGGGGGUAGUUGCACAGGCCAGCUGGUGGGAUAGGAGCAGCUGUCACAGAAGGGGAGAGUGAAUUAUCAGUGAUUUGAAAGUCUCAACUUCCAAUAGGGCCAACGCCCAAACUGUGACUGUGGAAGUGGGUGGCUUAGUGAUAGUAGACACAGUCUUUAGGGAGGAGGAAGUCAAGAAACCGAGAGUCCAGUUGGACUGUUGACAAUUUCAUCCAAACCAGGGCUGAACUGACCUAAGAUGAGAGCAGCAUACAGAAGCUCUUUGAAGAGCAGGUGGCUGAGAAGAAUCCGCAGAGACUGUCUGAGAGAAGCCCUGAAUAUAACAGGGAGAAAGAAUGGGAAAAUGAUAUCCCUGAUCUCCAGUCUGCAGAGUCAGAAGCCAGCCAUUGCUCCAGGAGAGUGGGGAGCCCACACCCAUCCUUUGAAACUGGAAUCAAAGCCUCGUGAAUUCAAUAGAAUUGGGUGAAAUGGAAUUGUGUGACUGUCAAUAAAACGCCCAGAGGGUGAGGGUUGACAGGACACACAGGGAAUAUAAAAGUGAAGGUGGCACAUCUGAAGCCCCCGCCAGGAUGUCUGGGAUCUAAGCAGACGUACAUCCAUUUAUGACAUGAGAAAGUUCAUUAAUGUUUUAAUUGGAAUACAUAUGUGAGGGGAAGAAGGUAGAAAAAUACAAAUGUGUGUGUAUAAAGUUGUUUUGAUAAAAGAAUAAUAAGCUGGAAGUCUAAAAGGGGAGAAAAAGACAAAACCUUUUAUAACGGGAUGUAUUUUUUUAAAGGACUUAGUGGAGUUAAAAUUGAAUUGGACACAUCAGCUCUAACUCAUUUCCCAGGUAGUGCACUAGAAACAGAGACGCCUGCCUUCAGUUCUCAUGUGAAUAAUGUGAUUCGCAUUAGGAGUGCCCAGACAUAACAUUCACCUAAUAACAUUCACCACUCAAAAAAACAGGGCUCCUUGGAGAAGAGCUGAUUCCAUACCUUGGGGCAAGAAAAAUCACAGUCAGCCUAAGUAGACUUUGCUAGAACUAUGUAAGUUAAAAGACAAAAAUGUUUGAGGUAGUGUUAAAAGGAAAAAGGUUGCAGCAUAAAAAGUCAAAGCUGGCCAGACACGGCGGCUCAUGCCUGUGAUCCCCACACUCUGGGAGGCUGGGGCAGGAGAAUCACUGGAGGCCAGGAAUUCAAGCUGAGGCUGGGCAACAUAAUGAGACCCCAUAUCUACAAAAAAUGAAAAAAUUGGCUGGCGCAGUGGCUCACGUCUGUAAUCCUAGCAGUUUGGGAGGCUGAGGUGGGUGGAUCACCUGAGGUCAGGAGUUCAAGACCAGCCUGGCCAUCACAGUGAAACCCCAUCUUAAAAAAAAAAAAAAUGAAAAAAUUAGCCGGCUGGGGUGGUGUGUACCUGUAGGCCCAGCUACUCUGGAUGCAAAGUGGGAGGAUCCCUUGAGCCCAGAUGUUCAAGGCUGCACUGACACUAUCUCUAAAAAUAAAAAUAAAAAGGCAACACUGUGAUCAUCUGAUUAUUUAAAAAAAGAAAAAGAAAAAAAACGUAGUGGAAAGCCUGAGUCCAUAAUAGUGUUGAAUAUGGGUUAUACUAAAAGAAAUAUAUGUGAGUUCCUGAAAAUGUCCAGAUUUUUUUUUUUUUGCCAAAGCCAAUAGUUCCAAAGUGUCCACUUUUCAAUGUGCAUACCAUAGCCAAGUUCUGAUUAAUAAUUAAGCUAUGAAUUUCUUGUUCUUAUAUAUUUAUAUUAGGAAAUGAGUUUUUGUUUUUUGUUUUUUUUGAGAGAGAGUCUCGCUCUGUCGCCAGGCACCAGGAUGGAGUACAGUGGCGCGAUCUCGGCUCACUGCAACCUCCGCCUCCCAGGUUCAAGCAAUGCUCCUGCCUCAGCCUCCCAAGUAGCUGGGACUACAGGCACCCGCGCCACCAUGCCCAAGCUAACUUUUUUUUUUUUUUAGUAGAGACGAGGUUCAACCAUGUUGGCCAGGAUGGUCUCAAUCUCUUGACCUCGUGAUCCACCCGCUUUGGCCUCCCAAAGUGCUGGGAUUACAUGCGUGAGCCACCGCACCUGGCAGGAAAUGAGAUUUAAAGGACACCCAGGGAUGAACGAUGCACUGAGUUAUUUAAAAACAAGAAAUAGGCCGGGCGUGGUGGCUCAAGCCUAUAAUCCAAGCACUUUGGAGGCCGAGGUGGGCCGAUCACCUGAGGUCGGGAGUUCAAGACCAGCCUGACCAACAUGGUGAAACCCUGUCUAAAACAAACAAACAAAAAAAAAAAAAACAAGAAAUAAGGGAAAAAAACAGUGAGAGUUCUAUGAAUCUUGUUAGUGCAGCAGGCAAAAUUUGACCAAAGGAAGCCACCCACACUGGUAAUUGCCAGCCUGGAAGAAAUGAGGGUAGGAGGCACAUCCAGACCCCAAGCCCAGACCCAGUGUCCAGGCUUCAGGCAACUCUCUGCAUCGUGGCAGCUGCAAAUCCGGAGCUCAAACCCUAAUCUGUAACUGUAUCUCAGGGUUAAAUCUUCAACCGAGUCAUUUCAGCCCAACUGUGAGGUUACUUCUGCUUUCUUUCUUUGGACGGAGGCUUAAAAAUAAAGAGGACGAUGGACACAAAUGUAGAUUAAUAGUCUUGUGAUAGCUUUAGGGAGAGUAUGGUAGUAACUACUGCAAACAUUGGGAUGAUUUGGGUUUUAUCUGCUUUUUAGUUGAGGUAAAAUUCAGUAACAUAAAAUUAACCACUAACAACUUUAAAGUCUAGAAUUUUUAAAUUGUUGCUUUUUAAAGUAUUGGAAAAGUGUAAAAGCAGGUGACAUUAAACUUGUGAUAUUAGUUUAAUAUUUAGGUAGAUUAAGUUUGGUGGUUAAAUGCUUCAAUAAAUCUAAUUGGCUCUACAAAUUGAGGCUAUGUUUUGUGAAUAAUGUUUAAAUUCUUAGUGUUAAAUGCUUAGUGUCUAAGAUUUUGUUCAAUUUGCAAAUCUGCUUUGUUAGUUGUUUGAAGUGCUUAAUUUAGUUUAAUAGUCUAAUUUAAUUAAGCUUGUGAGUAAUAUUUAAUGUUUAGAGAAUUUAUAAGCUAAUCAGGCAUUAAUCAAAGAGCAAGUGAUAGAAAUACUAGAUUUAUGAGCAAAGUAACAUAAAAAUACUAGAUUUAUGAGCAAAGUGAUGAAUUAUAUGGGUUGAACUUAAAUUAACAAACCUAGUGUUGAAAAUUUACAACUUUGGGUGCAGUGGCUCCCACUUGUGGUCCCAGCAUUUUGGGAGGCUGAGGCAGGAGGAUCUCAUGGGACCAGGAGAGGAAAGCUGCAAUGAGCCAUGAUUAUACCACUGUGC
ensembl:lncRNA